rnacentral:rRNA from 1 species
CCCUUAGAUGUUCUGGGCCGCACGCGUGCUACACUGAGUGGAUCAGCGGGUCAGGUUGCGCGAAAGCGUUUCCUAAUCUUUAAAUCCGCUCGUGAUGGGGAUUGACGGUUGCAAUUUUCUGUCAUGAACGAGGAAUACCUUGUAAGCGCGGGUCAUCAUCCCGCGCUGAAUACGUCCCUGCCCUUUGUACACACCGCCCGUCGCUCCUACCGAUUGAGUAAUCCGGUGAAUAAUUCGGACCGAUUGCGAUGUCAGUUCCUGGCGCCGCAGACGGAAAGUCUAGUGAACCUUAUUACUUAGAGGAAGGAGAAGUCGUAACA